AAGGUCUGUGUUGACGUCACCUGAAGAGCGCCCGGGAUGGAGCGGGCGAUUUCUGCCGGUCCUACCACCUCUGCGGCCUCAGAGCCCCCCUCCGUCGCCGCCACCUCCUUCCCCUCCCCCUCCGCCGCCGCCUUCUCCGGCUUUUCCACCACCUCUGCACGACCCAGGCCCUCCGUCCUUGACAGCAAGCCGUGUUUGGUCUCCUUCCCGGGCCUGGGGCUCAGCCAUGGCGGACGGCGGCGGCGGCGGCACGGGCGCGGUGGGCGGCGGCGGAGCAGGCCAGGCCUCCGCGGGGUCUGCGACGGGCGCGACGGGGGCCGGCGGGAGCGGCGGCCCCAUCAACCCGGCUUCACUGCCUCCCGGUGACCCGCAGCUCAUCGCUCUCAUCGUGGAGCAGCUCAAGAGCAGGGGCCUCUUCGACAGCUUCCGCCGGGACUGCCUAGCCGACGUGGACACCAAGCCAGCUUACCAAAACCUGAGGCAGAAAGUGGAUAAUUUUGUGUCAACACAUCUGGACAAGCAGGAAUGGAAUCCUACGAUGAACAAAAACCAGUUGCGAAAUGGUCUGAGGCAGAGUGUGGUUCAGUCAGGAAUGUUGGAAGCUGGAGUGGACAGAAUUAUUUCUCAGGUGGUGGAUCCCAAACUAAACCACAUCUUCAGGCCCCAGAUAGAACGAGCAAUUCAUGAGUUCCUGGCUGCCCAGAAAAAAGAAGCUGUGCCAGCACCCCCUCCAGAGCCUGAAAGCCAGGACCCUCCUGCUCCAUCCCAGGGUGCUUCCUAAGGUCCGGUAUCCCGUCUUUUGUCCAGGAGCAUUCAUCUCUGGCUUAUAGAUAUAUAAAAAGGAUAGAAAAGGGAAUAUGCCUGACACCUUUUGGAAGCUCUGCUGAAUUAAUGGUGAAGAAAGGGACUUGGUUACAUAAAAGUACAGCUUCAGAAUGAAGACAGGCCAAGAUUGUCACUGAUUUCAAGAUUCAGCCUUGACUGUUGGGGUGUCCAACUGGAACAGAGAACACGUUUGGUAGUAGAAAAGUUGGUUGUGUGUGCCGUGCACAUUGUGCUGCCACCUGAGCGGGCUGGCCGGGGAAUGACACCCAGUAAACACUACAGAGAUUCGAAGAAACACUACAUCAAUCAGGGGUUGUCUUGAAACAAACCUUUGUACUUGAACUUGGAGACUGCAUGUAGAUUUUAAGGUUUGUGCUUGGGGAUAAACAAAACAACAGUGAAGGAACGUAAUCAAUCCCAAAGAUGCAAUUCACAGCCUUACAGGGAAGGUUGCUGGAGUACGUGUUUGACAGUGCUCGCUUGAUACUGUUUCUCGGAGUUGCAAACUAGAAUGCACAAGCCUGUUAGCAUCAAAUAGCUUUCAAGUUGUUAUAACCCUCUUGUACAUGAAUCUUGUAAUUUCAGUCUCAUUUCCCCUGGAAGACGUGACAAAAUGUGGGACCUAGAAUACAUGAGGUGUAAGAAGAAGCUAGUGCAGGCUCUCUGUCUGGGCUUCUUCCUGCUGAGCAAGGGCUAGGGUUUAUUUUUGGGUGUGUUUAUUUUCUCAUGUUUUUUAGAAAAGUGAAUGAUCAAUAAAUGGCUUAAGUUUUGUAAUAAAAUCAUUUGAUACUCUUA